rnacentral:rRNA from 1 species
GACGAACGCUGGCGGCGUGCUUAACACAUGCAAGUCGAACGGAAAGGCCCUGCUUUUGUGGGGUGCUCGAGUGGCGAACGGGUGAGUAACACGUGAGUAACCUGCCCUUGACUUUGGGAUAACUUCAGGAAACUGGGGCUAAUACCGGAUAUGAGCUCCUGCUGCAUGGUGGGGGUUGGAAAGUUUCGGCGGUUGGGGAUGGACUCGCGGCUUAUCAGCUUGUUGGUGGGGUAGUGGCUUACCAAGGCUUUGACGGGUAGCCGGCCUGAGAGGGUGACCGGCCACAUGGGGACUGAGAUACGGCCCAGAAUCCUACGGGAGGCAGCAGUGGGGAAUAUUGCACAAUGGGCGGAAGCCUGAGGCAGCAACGCCGCGUGCGGGAUGACGGCCUUCGGGUUAUAAACCGCUUUCGCCUGUGACGAAGCGUGAGUGACGGUAAUGGGUAAAGAAGCACCGGCUAACUACGUG